GAUGAACGCUGGCUACAGGCUUAACACAUGCAAGUCGUGGGGAAACGGCAUUAUGUGCUUGCACAUUCUGGACGUCGACCGGCGCACGGGUGAGUAUCGCGUAUCCAACCUGCCCCUUACUUGGGGAUACCCCGUCGAAAGACGGCCUAAUACCCGAUGUGUUUCAUUGACGGCAUCCGAUAUGAAACAAAGGUUUUCCGGUAAGGGAUGGGGAUGCGUCUGAUUAGCUUGUUGGCGGGGCAACGGCCCACCAAGGCGACGAUCAGUAGGGGUUCUGAGAGAAAGGUCCCCCACAUUGGAACUGAGACACGGUCCAAACUCCUACGGGAGGCAGCAGUGAGGAAUAUUGGUCAAUGGACGCAAGUCUGAACCAGCCAAGUAGCGUGCAGGAUGACGGCCCUAUGGGUUGUAAACUGCUUUUAUGUGGGAAUAAAGUGGCGCACGUGUGGCGCCGUUGCAUGUACCUCAUGAAUAAGGACCGCUAUUCC
rnacentral:rRNA from 1 species